GACGAACGCUGGCGGCGUGCCUAACACAUGCAAGUCGAACGGUAAGGCCCGAGCUUGCUGCGGUAGACGAGUUACGAACGGGGGAGUAACACGUGGGUUCCCUGUCACUCACUUCGGGAUAAGCCUGGGAAACUGGGUCUAAUCCCGGCUAGGAUCGCACCGUGAUGGUGGGGCGGGAGGUGUUUUAGGUGUGGGAUGGGCCAGCGGCCUAUCAGCUUGUUGGUGGGGUAGUGGCCUACCAAGGCGGCGAGGCGUAGCCGGCCUGAGAGGCGGGACGGCCCCGCUAGGCCUGAGACGAGGCCCAGACUCCUCCGGGACGCAGCAGUGGAGAAUAGUACACAGUGGGCGGAAGCCUGAUGCAGCGACGCCGCGUGGGGGAUGACGGCCUUCGGGUAGUAAACUCAUUUCACCUUCGCCGAAAGGUUACUGACGGUAGAUGGAGAAGAAGCACCGGCUAACUACGUG
rnacentral:rRNA from 1 species